CCCCGAACGUCAGCUGGAGAUCGAGGGUUUGCUGAAGGAGCUGGAGAGGCUGCAGGCUCAGCUGGACGACCUGUCUGCAUGGGCCGCCAGCACCAGAGGCAAACUGGAGCAGAGCCCAGAGGAGCCUCCCCAACGGUUGAUGGAGGAAGUGCAAGCCCGGAAGCCUGACGUGGAGUUUGUUUUGGAAAGAGGCGAGCAGCUCUUUAAGGAUAUCCCUCCCGGCCGGGCCGACAAGGUGAAGUUUGACAAGCUGAAAGAAGACUGGCUGAUCAUAAUGGAGCUCCUACGGCAGCAUAAAGAGAGAAAGGACCUUCUUGCAUCCAAAAAAUCAGUACGUUUACAUGACUUAAUCCUGCCCUUAAAAAUGAAAUAAAA
rnacentral:lncRNA from 1 species